GGUCGGUUUUGGCCAUGGGUUUGUUGGUCUUGACUUUGGGUUGGUCUUGGUCGUGGUUUGGUUGAUCUUGACUUUGGAUUGGUCUUGGCCAUGGGUGGAUGUUGACCAUUGGUCGGUCUUGGCCAUGGAUUGGUUGGUCUUGACUUUGGGUUGGUCUUGGUCGUGGUUUGGUUGAUCUUGACUUUGGGUUGGUCUUGACUUUGGGUUGGGCUUUGGGUUUGUCUUGGUCAUGGAUUGGUCUUGACCUUGGGUUGGUUUUGACUUGGGUUGGUCUUGACUUUGAACUGGUCUCGACUUUGGGUUGGUCUCGACUUUGGACUGGUCUCAACUUUGGGUUGGUCUCGACUUUGAACUGGUCUCAACUUUGGGUUGGGCUUUGGGUUUGUCUUGGCCAUGGAUUGGUUGAUCUUGACUUUGAGUUGGUUGAUCUUGACCAUAAGUUGAUCUUGACUUUGGGUUGGUCUUGGCCAUGGGUGGAUGUUGACCAUUGGUCGGUCUUGGCCAUCGAUUGGUUGGUCUUGACUUUGGGUUGGUUUUGACUUUGGGUUGGUCUUGGUCGUGGUUUGGCUGAUCUUAACUUUGGGUUGAUCUUGACUUUGGGUUAAGCUUUGGGUUGGUCUUGACCAUGGAUUGGUCUUGACCUUGGGUUGGUUUUGACUUGGGUUGGUCUUGACUUUGAACUGGUCUCAACUUUGGGUUGGUCUCGACUUUGGACUGGUCUCAACUUUGGCUUGGUCUUUGAGUUGGUCUUGGCCAUGGAUUGGUUGGUUUUGACUUUGGGUUGGUUGAUCUUGGCCAUGAGUUGAUCUUGACUUUGGGUUGGUUUUGGCCAUGGGUGGAUGUUGACCAUGGGUCGGUCUUGGCCAUAGUUUGGUUGAUCUUGACUUUGGGUUGGUUGAUCUUGACCAUGAGUUGGUUUUGACUUUGGGUCGGUUUUGGCCAUGGGUGGAUGUUGACCAUGGGUCGGUCUUGACUUUGGGUUGGUUGAACUUGACUUUGGGUUGGUUUUGACUUUGGGUUGGUCUUCACCAUGGAUUGGUCUUGACCAUAGGUUGAUCUUGGCCAUGGUUUGGUUGAUCUUGACUUUGGGCUGGUUGAUCUUGACCAUGAGUUGGUUUUGACUUUGGGUCGGUUUUGGCCAUGGGUUGGUUGGUCUUGACUUUGGGUUGGUCUUGGCCAUGGUUUGGUUGAUCUUGACUUUGGGCUGGUUGAUCUUGACCAUGAGUUGGUCUUGACUUUGGGUUGGUCUUGGCCAUGGGUGGAUGUUGACCAUUGGUCGGUCUUGGCCAUGGAUUGGUUGGUCUUGACUUUGGGUUGGGCUUGACUUUGGGCUGGUUGAUCUUGACCAUGAGUUGGUUUUGACUUUGGGUCGGUUUUGGCCAUGGGUUGGUCU